rnacentral:lncRNA from 1 species
AUAUAUAAUUUAGGAUUUGCUAUAGAUAAAGGUCAAUCAUAACAAAUUUAGAACUACUUAAUAUGGUAAAUUUUAUCCCUAUCCCAUCUAUUUCAGAUUUAAAUAGAACCCUAAUCAAACUUUGAUGAGAAGUCGAUCUGGACUCUACAUAAAGGGGUAUUGGUCCUGCCACCUUCUCAUACGUAUUCUGGUGAAGAAUUACCAUCGGUUCCACACCAUACGGUAGAGUGCCUGAGACAGGAGGAGAAACCAAAUCACCCAAGUUCGGUUCGUGACUUUCAGAUCAUAGCCGGACUUCACGUUUCCGCAAGAUUGAUCAAGAAUUUCUUCUCUAUGACGCUCUGUGAGUUAUCUUAUAAUUUUGUUUUGAUCCUGAAUUUUGAUAUGUAUUUAUUUUUGGUUUUAUUUUUACAUACCUAUAAAGUCUAUAAAUUGGUAUCAGAGCCAUAAGUUGAUAAUAUUAAACAUCGUAUGCAUAAUUUUUUUUUAAAAAUCAAUUGUGCUGAACCUCUGAAAUUAAUUUUGACACGGUUUACCGAUGUCAGAGUAAUUUUGAAAACUUUAUUUAAUUAUGCAUACGCCUUAAUUACAUAUGCACAUACUGCGGCCUUUAUAGAAGUCGUGCUGUUCAUCAUCCUUUAUAGAAUCUGCACCGUGUGCGACUCUGAUUCCGAUUAUCGCGACCGUCGAUCCGAAAAGCACGGUCGUGCGAUGAGCGUGGAUGAGAAGCACACGGGAUCAGAUCCCAUGCCUUAAUUAAUUUGAGCAUGGUUACUAUGGAUCUAAGGCUCAUGUGAAAUUAGGUUUAAAUUUUGGGGAAGAAGAUGAACAGUAGCUUUAUUAGGCUUAUAUUUGCUAACCUCGGUUACUUUUUAAUUUGCAACUUGGGUUGGUAUCUUCUGGGUUUUUGCGUGCAUACUGAACUUAAGGGGAUCAAAUUGCAAAUUAGAGAUCAUACUUGUUCUUUGUAUUAAUUUUGCAAUUUUGUCGUUUAUUAUUCGUCAUUAUUUAAUUUUGACUCUUGCCCUUUAUGAAGUGCUGUGAGCAUAAAGUUUUGUUCACAUAAAUUUUGUUGACUUAUUAUAAAGUUAAUUAUAUAUGUGGUCAAAUUAGAAUAUAUAAAGUUUAAAUUUGAUUGUGAUAUUAUGUCUUAAAUUAUCGCAUCUAUAUUCUUAUUUUGACCGGAUAAACAUGAAAAUUAAAUAAUUAUAAUUGUUUUUCGAUUAUUUAAUGUUUGGUGCUAAGUUGAAUUAAUUUAUUAUUUUGAUUAGUUAGGUGCAAGUCAAAGCGGUCCUAAUUAAAAGAAAUAAUGAUUUAAUUUACUUUAAAGUAGCGCUUCCGGAUAAUUUUCAUGUUAAUUAUGCAGCACUAAGUCAGAUUAAUUUAUUGCUUCAACUAUUCGGGUGCAAGCAAAAGCGGCCCCGACCGGAAGAAAAGAUAAAUUAAUUGCUUUAAAGAAGUGCAUGCGAAAUUGCACCCUAAUAUUGUGUUUAGUCUGCUCCCAAAGGAGGUCUAGACAUGAAGGUACAUGGGUGGUGUAGGAUGGUAAUUUUCUUAUAACUCGUUUGGAGAAAUUUGCCUGGCCAAAGCUGACAAUUUUUCUAUAUGGAAAAUUUGAAAUUACUAAGACCUGCAGAAAGAUUAAUUAGUCUCUGAUAAAGAGAUUGCAUAGUUAUGCUCAUAACUCUGCUCCCACAGGAGGGGUUGUGAUGUCAUAUAAAGUAUAUGCAUAAAGAACGAAAAAUACUUAUACUCAUAACUCUGCUCCCAAAAGAGGGGUUGUGAUAUCAUAUACAGUGUAUUUCUCUAAUUUUGAUGUGGUAAUUUUAUUUAGAUGUGGUAUUUUAUUGAUAAAACAUGCAUUUUAUUUUUCAGCUAUGACUCCAUUUUCUGUUCCUAUUGGUGAAUCUGUUCCUAUACUUAAUGGUUCUAAUUAUUCGGAGUGGAAAGAAUAGAUCAUGUUCAUUUUGGGCUAUAUGGAUUUAGAUUUGGCUCUGCGCGCUGAGCAACUGCCUAAGGUAGUGGGGCCAAUGACUCCACAGCAGGAAUCCGCGCAGGAAAAAUGGGAGCGAUCCAACCACUUAAGUUUGAUGUUCAUAAAGUCAAGAGUAUCAAAAAGCAUAAGGGGAUCAAUCCUAAAAUGUGAUAAAGCCAAGGAUUAUCUAAAGGCCAUUGAGGAGCAAUUUAUUAGCUCCGAUAAAACCUUAGCGAGCACCUUAAUGAAUAAACUGUCUUCCAUGAAGUACUCCGGAAAUGGCUCGAUUCGCGAGAAUAUUAUGGAAAUGCGAGAUAUUGCAGCGCAACUCACCGCACUUGAAGUAACCAUCUCUGAUUCAUUCUUAGUGCACUUUAUUUUGAACUCUUUGCCAUCUGAAUACGGACCAUUUCAGAUCUCUUAUAACACACAAAAAUAAAUGGUCAAUUAAUGAAUUGCUGACUAUGUGUGUGCAAGAGGAAGGCAGAUUAAUACAAGAGAAACAAAAUGCAGUCAACUUUGUUUCUCAAAAGAGACAAAUCAAGCGUACUAAGAAUGGCAAAGGCAAGAAUGACUCAAAAAGGAAGAACAAGGAAGUUCCAUCUGGUUCACAAGGCCAAUCAAGUAAUUGGACUCCCAAGUGCUUCUUUUGUAAGAAUAGGGGUCAUAUAAAGAAAGACUGCCAAAAGUAUCAGAAAUGACUCCAGAAGAAAGGUAAAUUUCUGGUUUUGAUGCAUGAGUUGCAUUUAGUUUCAAUUCCGUCUAAUACUUGGUGGAUUGACUUUGGUGCCACAUGCCACGUGGCGAAUUCGGUGCAGGGAUUUCAGAAUGGGAGAAAACCCAAUAAAGAUGAAGCAACUAUCUAUACAACUGAAGGAAAUCCAACUAAAGUGGAGUUUGUAGGGACAUUUAGAUUAGUUCUUUCUACUGGUCACAUUUUGGAUUUAGUUGAUAUAUUUUAUGUUCCAAAUUUUUCUAAGAAUUUAAUUUCUAUUUCGAAACUUGUUGGAUUGGGAUAUAGUUUCAGUUUUAAUAAUAAAAUUUUUUCCUUAUCUUAUAAAUCUCAGAUAGUUGGCUCUGAUGUUUUGGAAAAUAAUCUAUAUAAAGUAUUUUUAGAUGAUUCAUUUAGUGAAAUCCUUCUUACCAUGCACGGAAAUGUUGGAUCAAAACGUGGCAUUAAUAAUGAAAAGUCAUCCAUGUUAUGGCAUAAGAGGUUAGAACACAUCUCAAAACAGAGAAUUCAAAGAUUAAUUAGAGAAGGCAUUUUAGAUGAUUUGGACUUCUCUGACUUUGGAAUAUGUGUGGACUGCAUAAAGGGAAAGCAGACCAAAACCUCCUCUAAAGGUGCUAAAAGAUGUGAUGGAACAAUAGAAUUGAUUCAUACAGAUAUAUGCGGACCUCUUCCUCUCUCUAUUACUGGCCAUAAAUAUUUUAUCACAUUUACUGAUGACUACUCUCGAUAUGGCUAUCUCUACUUGCUUAAAAAAAAAAAUCUGAAGCAUUAGAUGCCUUUAAGGCAUAUAAGGCUGAAGUAGAAAAUCAACUCGAGAAAAGAAUAAAAGUAGUCAGAUCAGAUAGGGGUGGUGAAUAUUUUGGUAAACAAACAGAUAAAGGACAAAUUCCUGGACCUUUUGCUAAGUUUCUGGAGCAGUGCGUAAUUGUUCCACAGUACACCAUGCCAGGGAGACCUGAUUUGAAUGGUGUUGCUGAAAGAAGGAACCGCACAUUAAUUGAUAUGCUCAGGAGUAUGAUCAGUAAUUCUACCCUUCCGAUAUCAUUGUGGAGUGAGGCACUCAAAACUACCAUGUAUAUUCUUAAUCGGGUCCCUACUAAGGCUGUCACUAAGAUUCCUUUUGAGCUUUGGACAGGUAGGAAACCCAGUUUAACACAUUUUCAUACAUGGGGUUGUCAAGCUGGGGCCAAGUUGUAUGAUCCACAAAUAAAGAAAUUGGAUCCUCGAACCAUAUCAGGAUAUUUUAUUGGUUAUUCGGAAAGGUCCAAAAGGUAUAAGUUUUACUGUCCAUCACUUAAUUCCUAUAAAGAUUGCAGAAACUAAAACAGCACGGUUUAUUGAGGAUGGUACAAAUAGUGGGAGCUCUGAACCUCGAUUCAUUGAAUUUGAAGAAAUUCAUGAGCAUUCGGAUUCUGUACAUGACAGACCCACUGUUGUCCCUCACGAUUUGUUGGUUCCUAUUCCAGUAGAACAACAAGUUGUUUUGGAACCACAAAGUGAUUGUGAACCUAUCAUUGAUAAUUCACACCAAGAUGUACAAGUGGAUAAUUCACAUCAAGAUGUACAAAUGAAUGAUCCACAUCAAGAUAUACAUGUGGAUAAUCAGAUAGAUUUAAGAAGAUCCUCAAGACAGAGAAGACCGGCUAUAUCGAGUGACUAUAUUAUCUAUCUUUAUGAGAAUGGCCAGAGUUUAGAUGAUCCUCUUAGUUUUUUCGAAGCCAUAAAUAGUAAUAAUUCUACGGAAUGGUACAAUGCCAUGAAGGAUGAGAUUGAAUCCAUGAACCACAAUAAGGUAUGGGAUCUUGUUGAGUUACCAAAAGGAGUUAAACCCGUAAGAUGCAAAUAGGUUUAUAAAAAUCAAAUGGGACUCCAAGGUAACAUAGAGAGAUACAAGGCCCGUCUUGUGGCAAAAGGAUUUACUCAAAAGAAGGCAUUGACUAUAAAGAGACUUUCUCUCCAGUAUCUAGAAAGGAAUCUUUUCGUAUUAUUAUGGCUCUGGUUGCUCAUUUUGAUCUCGAGCUAUAUCAGAUGGAUGUCAAAACUGUUUUUUUAAAUGGAGAUCUCUAUGAAGAGGUGUAUAUGAAUCAACCUGAAGGAUUCUCGCAAAUAGGAAAGGAGCACAAUGUAUGCAAAUUAAAAAAAUCAAUAUAUGGACUAAAGCAGGCCUCCUGACAAUGGUAUUUAAAAUUUAAACAAACUAUUUUGACUUUUGGUUUUAAGUAAAAUAUUGUUCAAUGUAUUUAUCUAAAGGUCAAUGGGAGUAAAAUAAUUUUCUUAGUCCUUUAUGUUGAUGAUAUUUUGCUUCCCAGUAAUGAUUUUAGGCUAUUGCAUAACACUAAAGAUUUUCUUUUCCAAAAUUUUGAAAUGAAAGAUUUAGAUGAGGCCUCAUAUGUUCUUGGUAUUGAAAUCAAAAGGGAUAGACAUAAAGGUUUACUCGGUCUAUCUCAAAAGGCCUACAUAAAGAAAAUUUUGAAAAAUUUUAAAUGCAUAAUUGUAAGCCCAGUAUUGCUCCUGUCCAGAAAGGGGAUAAGUUUAAUGCUUUUCAGUGUCUCAAAAACCAAUUAGAAAUUGAACAGAUGGAAAACAUAUCCUAUGCCUUUACAGUUGGUAGUCUUAUGUAUGCACAGACGUGCACAUGUCCGGAUAUUGCUUUUGCCGUUGGAUUCUUGGCAGAUAUUAAAGUAAUCCAAGCAUUGAGCAUUGGAAGGCUGCUAAAAGAUUAUGAGGUAUUUGAAAGGAACUUUGGAUCAUAUUGCAUGUUACGAGACCACAUUACAGGCUAUUUGGCUUAGGAAUUUUAUCACAGACUUAAGAAUUGUGGACUCCGGUGUUUAUCCAAUAAAGAUUUUCUGUGAUAGUUCAGCUGCGGUUUUCUUUGCCAAUAACAACAAGAUUGCAGCGGGGUGUAAACACUUGGACACUAAAUUUCUUAUUGUGAGAGAGAAAAUAGAUGAAGGUUAUAUUACAAUUGAAUACAUCAAUACCAAGUGUACGAUUGCAGACCCAAUGACCAAGGGGCUGGCACCUGGGUUAUAUACGGAUCAUGUUAGAAAUAUGGGUUUGAUUAGUUCUUUCGAUGUAUAAAAUUGUAAUACUUAUUUUCUUUCAAUAAAGUUAAGGUUUAAUGUAGCUGUGUUGGACCAUUUAAUAGAAAUAAAGUUUCAUCUAUAAACGAAUGAAUAUACAAUUUAAAUUCAUUGAUAAAGUUGUGCCAUAUAAAGUACUCGGCUAGAAGGUGAAGAUGAUACGGUAAUUAUGGAAGGAAAAUUUCGUUAUGAAGAUGUGGACCGCCAUAGUUUCUAUCAUUGUAGUCUUUAGUUUGAGCUAAAGAUCAAGUGAGUUCUAAGGUAUUUGACCAUAAAGUUUUCAAUAAUGUGCAAUAAAGAUUGGAGUAUAGAAAAUCAGUUAAUGGAAUAUGAUUAAUAUGAGCCAAGUGGGAGAUUGUUAGGAUUUCCAUAUAUUGUGGCCCAAUUAAUCAUAUAUAAUUUAGGAUUUGCUAUAGAUAAAGGUCAAUCCUAACAGAUUUAGAACUACUUGAUAUGGUAUAUUUUAUCCCUAUCCCAUCUAUUUCAGAUUUAAAUAGAAUCCUAAUCAGACUUUGAUGGAAAGUCGAUCUGGACUCUAUAUAAAGGGGUAUUGGUCUUGCCACCUUCUCAUACGCAUUCUGGUGAAGAAUUACCAUCGGUUCCACACCAUACGGUAGAGUGCCUGAGACAGGAGGAGAAACCAAAUCACCCAAGUUCGGUUCGUGACUUUCAGAUCAUAGCCGGACUUCACGCUUCCGCAAGAUUGAUCAAGAAUUUCUUCUCUAUGGCGCUCUGUGAGUUAUCUUAUAAUUUUGUUUUGAUCCUGAAUUUUGGUAUGUAUUUAUUUUUGGUUUUGUUUUUACAUACCUAUAAAGUCUAUCAUGGGACUGAUUGGG